GACGAACCGUGCGAACGUUAUUCGGAAUCACUGGGCUUAAAGCGCGUGUAGGCGGGACGGCACGUCGGUCGCUGAAAUCCCCCGGCUUAACCGGGGAACGGGCGUCGAUACGACCGUCCUGGAGGGGCGUAGGGGGACCUGGAACCUCCGGUGGAGCGGUGAAAUGCGUUGAGAUCGGAAGGAACGCCCGUGGCGAAAGCGAGGUCCUGGACGCCUACUGACGCUGAGACGCGAAAGCCAGGGGAGCGAACGGG
rnacentral:rRNA from 1 species